CCGGGAGCAAGGAUAGGCAGCAUCCUUGCCCCCGGCCCAGGGCGGUCCCUCUGCGCCCUCGCUCAGCCUUCUUUCUCUAGAAGUGGUCUUUUCCUGCUGUGGGUGUCGGGUCCUCUCCACGCUGCACCGGGGCCUCUUGCCUGGCACCUGUUACGCGGACACCUGCUCGCCGGCCUGGAAUGGAAAUGUGUCCUAGAGAACGAACGAGCUGGCUAGGGGCCCAAGUUUACCUGAGAAUUCCAAGCCUACUCAGAACGCUUUGCUCUGCCCAAAGUCAAGUCGAUGUCACAGGCCUGCCCUGCAACCUUGUUGAACUGGACACUUGAACUUCUGAAAGGAAUGCUGUGGAGUUGGGAGCUUUUGAAGCUCCUUGUGGACAAGGGGGGGAAAGUGCAAAUAUAAAUUGGGCAACUGAGGUUGCAUCAUGCCAGGAGAAUGUCAAAUAGAAAGAAAUGUCAGCAAGGCAGCGUC